AUUGAACGCUGGCGGCAGGCCUAACACAUGCAAGUCGAACGAGUGGCGGACGGGUGAGUAAUGUCUGGGAAACUGCCCGCUGGAGGGGGAUAACUACUGGAAACGGUAGCUAAUACCUCCUACCAUCGGAUGUGCCCAGAUGGGAUUGGCUAGUUGGUGGGGUAACGGCUCACCUAGGUGACGAUCCCUAGCUGGUCUGAGAGGAUGACCAGUCACACUGGAACUGAGACAAGGUCCAGACUCCGACGUGAGGCAGCAGUGGGGAAUAUUGCACAAGGGGCGCAAGCCUGAUACAGCCAAGCCGCGUGUAUGAAGAAGGCCUUCGGGUUGUAAAGGACUUUCAGCGAGGAGGCGUUACUCGCAGAAGAAGCACCGGCUAACUCCGUGCCAGCAGCCGCGGUAAUAC
rnacentral:rRNA from 1 species